GCCCGCGUGGCGGAAUUGGUAGACGCAGGGGACUCAAAAUCCCCCGCCGCAAGGCGUGCCGGUUCGAGUCCGGCCGCGGGCACCA
rnacentral:tRNA from 1 species